rnacentral:rRNA from 2 species
UUAAAAUCUGGCGGCUUUGGUCGUCCGAGUUGUAUCCUAGAGAAGUGUUUUCCGCGUUGGACCGUGUAUAAGUCUCUUGGAACAGAGCGUCAUAGAGGGUGAGAAUCCCGUCUUUGACACGGACUACCAAUGCUUUGUGAUACACUCUCAAAGAGUCGAGUUGUUUGGGAAUGCAGCUCAAAAUGGGUGGUAAAUUCCAUCUAAAGCUAAAUAUUGGCGAGAGACCGAUAGCGAACAAGUACCGUGAGGGAAAGAUGAAAAGCACUUUGGAAAGAGAGUUAAACAGUACGUGAAAUUGCUGAAAGGGAAACGAUUGAAGUCAGUCGCGUUAGCUAGAACUCAACCAGGCUUGCUUGGCGUAUUUUCUAGUUAACGGGCCAGCAUCAGUUUUGACUGCAGGAAAAAGGCCAGGGAAAUGUGGCACCUUCGGGUGUGUUAUAGUCUUUGGUCAUAUACUGCGAUUGGGACUGAGGUUCGCAGCACGCGCAAGCUGUGCUUAGGAUACUGGCGUAAUGGCUUUAAACGACCCG